UACGGGGGGAGCAAGCGUUGUUCGGAUUUACUGGGCGUAAAGGGCGCGUAGGCGGUCAGCACAAGUCAGUUGUGAAAUCUCCGGGCUUAACUCGGAACGGUCAACUGAUACUGUGCGACUAGAGUGCAGAAGGGGCAACUGGAAUUCUCGGUGUAGCGGUGAAAUGCGUAGAUAUCGAGAGGAACACCUGCGGCGAAGGCGGGUUGCUGGGCUGAUACUGACGCUGACAGCGCGAAAGCUAGGGGGAGCGAACGGG
rnacentral:rRNA from 1 species